rnacentral:lncRNA from 1 species
CAUGAGGAAGAAUUUUUUUAUCAGUGGUAUUGUAGUUUAGUUUGGGUGCCUAUUCUGAGUUGACCUGAUGUAGAAGAUUAGACAGUUUUGAAACAGACAUUCCUACCUGACCCGUGAGGAACCAAGUGUAGUGCAAGUGUGAUUAGGCUUUGGCCUCUGGUGAGCUCCCUGGUGCAUGGUCCUGUAUUGGCUGUAGUCACUUUGUACUUUUGCUGUAUUUUGUUCUAGAAGAGUAAUGGGGUGUACACUAGACUAGAUCACAUUACUGUUUCUGAGCUGGAAACAAUAAAAAAUAAGGUGUCUAAGUAUGCCAAAUAUUUAUAUACUGCUAUAAAAGCUAAGAGGAAGACUUUUCAAAAGUACAGAAAUUACUUUUUCUAAACUCCAGUCUUUGUAUGCUAGUUAAUUGCUUAGUUCAACAUUAUAAAACUAUGGGACUUUCACUGAAGAGAAAGAUCUCAGAUACUAUAUAUUCUAUUAUCAGAAUUCACCAUCUGUGUUAGUUUACAUUGCUUGUAGAUUUUCCAAAAAGAGCCUUCAGUGGGCUAUAGUUAACAUUGGGCACAUUAGUGUAAUCACGGUACACUGUAGAUCCCAGACAUUAGUGUGACUGGCUUGUUCUCCUGGGAAUAGCUGUCCUCACUGACAGAUACCACUUUGCCUGGUAUGGCAGUCUGUAUCGAAGUUCCUUUAGCUCUUAGUAUAGCAACCCACAGUUUUAAAAGGAUGAAAACUCAUGAAUUCUUUACAGCUAAAGUGUAUAUUCUGGAUGGGAAUAAGAAAAACUUUUGUACAAAGGUAUGUGCAAAGUACACUUGUGGUAUUUUGGGGUUUAGUACCCCAGGAUGAUUAAAUUAUGCUAAAUUCUAAGAUUAUCACUUGGACUUUUGGCUAAGAUUAAAUGUAAAUUCUAAGAUUAACAUAUCAUGUAUUGUCUAUAACUGGGUGUUCAAUGGAAAUGUAAUGUGAGCCCCAAAGGUAUUACAAUUUUCUAGUAGCAAUGUUUAAGACAUAUAAUUAACUUUUAAUAACAUAUCUUAUUUAACUUAAUCUAGUAAAACACGCUUUCAAUAUUCAUCAAUGUAACAAAAUUAAGGAGCCAUCUAGCGCCUUUUCUCCCUUUAUAUUAGUCUUCACAAUUCAAUGUGUGGUUUGCACUCACGCUGCCCCUCCACUGCAGCCAUGUUUCAUGCCCUCAGGCUCCACGUGUGGCCAGGGGCUGCUGCUGCAGACACAAUGCAGAUUUAUAGGCUACAAAGUAUGAAUCUGUUUAAAUUUGGAGGUGACAGAUGGACAUGAAAUUUCGAUCCUUUAAGGAUUGUUUAGAAAGAAAUCUAAUGAAGUUUUCCUUCAUUUUAAGUUAACUUUGUUCUAGAAAUUGGAUCAACCUGAUCUAAUUUGCCAAGCAUUAUUUGAAGAAGAAAUCCUGUGCCAUGCAAAAUACCUCUAGGAUUGUUGUAAAGUACUGACGGUAGAAUAGUGACAGUCUUCGGUCUUCACUAAAGUCUGUCCUGUUUCUUCAAAGCAUACCAGCUUGAGUUGCAUGCUUAGUGCAUAUCCGGACUUGUUUGCUUCCCAUUAUUCUUGUUAUAUAAUGAUGUAUAUUAACCAGCAGCCCUAGGAUUCUAAUCUAUGCAGCUGUCUGCCAGAACAUAAUGAUGUACCUAUUAAAUCAUGGUAAAUAGAAGAGAAAUAAGUUGAACCAUUUCUUUCCCCAUUAGAAUUGUUUUUUAACAUGUGGCCAUGUACCAAACCAGCUGUAAAUUAGUGUAUUUCUGUAGAAUAUGGAAACGGUGUUGUCUUUGAUGAUGUCUGAGUAAACGUUACCUCUCCUAA